rnacentral:rRNA from 1 species
CCGCGUGAGUGAUGAAGGCCUUAGGGUUGUAAAGGCUCUUUCGUCAGGGACGAUAAUGACGGUACCUGAAGAAGAAGCCCCGGCUAACUUCGUGC